rnacentral:tRNA from 1 species
GGUAAAAUAAGCUAAUAAAGCUACUGGGCCCAUACCCCAGCAAUGUUGGUUAACCCCUUCUUUUAUCA